CCUACGGGUGGCAGCAGUCGAGAAUCAUUCACAAUGGGGGAAACCCUGAUGGUGCGACGCCGCGUGGGGGAAUGAAGGUCUUCGGAUUGUAAACCCCUGUCAUGUGGGAGCAAAUUAAAAAGAUAGUACCACAAGAGGAAGAGACUGCUAACUCUGUGCCAGCAGCCGCGGUAUUACAGAGGUCCCAAGCGUUGAUCGGAAUCACUGGGCGUAAGGCGUGCGUAGGCUGUUUCGUAAGUCGUGUGUGAAAGGCGCGGGCUCAACCCGCGGACGGCACAUGAUACUGCGAGACUAGAGUAAUGGAGGGGGAAGCGGAAUGCUCGGUGAAGCAGUGAAAUGCGUAGAUAUCGAGAGGAACACUCGUGGCGAAGGCGGGUUACUGGACAUUAACUGACGCUGAGGCACGAAGGCCAGGGGAGCGAAAGGGAUUAGAUACCCCAGUAGUC
rnacentral:rRNA from 1 species